rnacentral:misc_RNA from 1 species
UAAUAAAAGUGAAAUAAAUUAUGGCACUUUUAAAACAAUCCAUAUCCACCUUGUGUGCAAUGUUUUUUUUAUAUUUUUAUAUAUCAACUCUUUUAAAACAUAUAAAUUUAUCUGAAAUUAUUUUAUGAAUUUUUUUUUUUACUUAAUUCAAAAAUA